CAGCAGCCGCGGUAAUACCGGCGGCCCGAGUGGCGGUUACUAUUAUUGGGCUUAAAGCGUCCGUAGCCGGGUUGGGAAGUCCUCCGGGAAAUCUGGCCGCUUAACGGUCAGAAUGCCGGAGGAUACUCCCAGCCUAGGGAGCGGGAGAGGCCGAGGGGAUUCCCGGAGGAGGGGUGAAAACCUAUAAUCCCGGGAGGACCACCUGUGGCGAAGGCGCUCGGCUGGAACGCGUCCGACGGUGAGGGACGAAGGCCAGGGGAGCAAACCGGAUUAGAUACCCGGGUAGUCCUGGCUGUAAACGAUGCGGACUUUGUGUCGGACAAGCUAUGAGCUUGUCCGGUGCCGGAGGGAAACCGUUAAGUCCGCCGCCUGGGGAGUACGGCCGCAAGGCUGAAACUUAAAGGAAUUGGCGGG
rnacentral:rRNA from 1 species